CAUACAUAACGAAUUGGUAUC
rnacentral:miRNA from 1 species